GUUCUGCAGAAAAACACAGAGGGAGAGGAGCAGACCAGGAAGGCCACUGGUGGGCCAAGGCGAGCCUGGAUUCGAAAUUCUACAGCCAAGGCUGGUCACAGCCCUACUCACUACUCAUCAGAAUGACUAGUCGGCUUCCCCAAAUCCGAGAUCAGCUGUCCUGGGUGAAGGGUUCUCUGUAGACACAUGCAGGAUUCUAAGAAAGCUGGCUGUGGGCAACACAGAGAAACAAAGCUGCUCUCAGUGGAUUUCCAAGAUGAAUACCACAGCUGCAUCCAUCCCAAACACAGGGGCCUUGAAUGCCUGUGGCGGGGCACACCUGCAGAGCUGGGCCUGGCCUGGACCAUGUGGCAGCUCAGCAGUUCACAGUCCUGCUGGGCCCUCCCAGCCGCCCCACCCCAGGAGGCCACAGAGGGUCCCCGGUGCUGAGAGCCGCUGGGCGCCUCUCAGGGAGAAUCCGCCAACAAUCUCUGCCCUGUCAAGGGUGCAGGGCUUGGCCCCCUCUGCCCAGGGACUGUCCAACUGCUGGGGUGAGGCUGGGGCUGCAGCGGGCAAGUGGGCCUGUGGGGACUGUGGUUCUGGGAGUCUCAGGCCUUAGUCUCACUGGAGCCCAGUUCUGGUAUUUUCAAGCUUUUCUCCAGCCAGAAAUAAUGCUAAUAUCCUACAACUGCAGCUUUUUCAGGGCACUACCACAAUUGAGACUUUCUCUUCAAGUAACAAUGAGAAUUUGUUCUGAGCCUUUGCGAUAAGAAAGGAGAGAGAAGAUCAUUCCUAGAGGCAGGAGGAGCAGAAAAUCAUCUCAACAAAAAGCACAGACUUCUCAUGAUAUAUUAUUAUGCUUUCAAAUAAGUAUUUCCACAAACCCAUUCUUUAGUUUAAAAUAAAGUGGCUCUGAAGUCUUAGAUUAUCUUGGCCAUGUCUUGUUUUAGGAGGAAAAAUCUGAUCUGGGGAAGCUGGUGGAUGAGCAACUUUGUCGUGGGGCCCAGCCUGGCAAGCUGCUCCCUUGAUGCAUCACGAUGCUGAGUUUCGCCAUAGGCUGUCUUCUGUGGGGAGUGUGAGAAGGGAAUCCCUUAUAAGGAGCGAUCCCUACUGAUUUAGUAAGUU
rnacentral:lncRNA from 1 species